UACGGAGGGAGCUAGCGUUGUUCGGAAUUACUGGGCGUAAAGCGCACGUAGGCGGCUUGUAAGUUAGAGGUGAAAGCCCGGGGCUCAACCCCGGAAUUGCCUUUAAGACUGCAUCGCUUGAAUCCGGGAGAGGUGGAGUGGAAUUCCGAGUGUAGAGGUGAAAUUCGUAAGAUAUUCGGAAGAACACCCGUGGCGAAGGCGGCUCUCGUGGGACGGUACUGACGCUGAGACGCGAAAGCCGUGGGGAGCGAACAGG
rnacentral:rRNA from 1 species